rnacentral:rRNA from 1 species
UACGUAGGGGCCUAGCGUUGUCCGGAAUUAUUGGGCGUAAAGAGCUCGUAGGCGGUUCGGCAAGUCGGAUGUGAAAUCUCCACGCUUAACGUGGAGGGGCCAUUCGAAACUGCUGUGACUCGAGUCCGGUAGGGGAGUGUGGAAUUCCCGGUGUAGCGGUGAAAUGCGCAGAUAUCAGGAAGAACACCCGUGGCGAAGGCGGUUCUCUGGGACGGUACUGACGCUGAGACGCGAAAGCGUGGGGAGCGAACAGG